AACUGUCUUUGUACCUCAACAAUUUUUUGUUUGAACAGCCGAGUCUUUCUUCCUAUUGCUACUUUCUUUUCCUGGGCUCGUGCUGUAGACAGAGCUUUCACAGCAACGCCAAGGAAAUUGAAUUUAUCAAGGUAAACAUCCGUCCUGGUGUUUUUUAUAGAAAUUUAGAUCCGGUUUUUUCUUGAUAAGUCGCGUCUGAUAUACCCUGUUUUUCGCCAUUCAACCAUUCUGACUACACAUUUCGUAGGGAUAUUCGGAAGAAUGGGUCUGACAAAAGGUGGAAUUUAUUUAAUCAGUAGCAGGAUUGAUGGCAAUAUCGAAGUUAAUAUGAAAGGGUAAAUGCCUUGGGCAACAUGAAAGGGAAAUUUAGGACGUAAGUUUAUGAGAUCAAUCCCCACAUUAAACUGAGAGGCGCAGUUCUUAAUCUGGUGUAUUCAGUGAGGGACGGCCGGGGAAGUUCCGUUUUUGGCUGCACUGCCAAAGGUUUGCCCACUAUUGACGUUGCGUUAGGAUGGCUCAUUGAUCUCGCUGCCAAAUCAGGUAUCACUAGCGUCAUGUUGAGAGGACCUUUGCCGCUCGUUUCUUCCUUUCUCGAGUUCGUUAAUAACUAUCACCAUGUUUUUUGUUCUGAAUUACAUAUGCGUUUUGUUUGUCCCUGGAUUUCUUUCGUUCCUUGGGGACACUUUGUGUCUAAUACUACACGCCUGGCUUUUGCACUAUCGCUGAAGAAGCUGUCCCGGUUGCGGGUUAUUUACCUUUUUUGCAGAAUGUUUUACGUUUGACUUCUGAUCUUGAAUUUGCCAGUUGUAAUCAUGAUUUAAAGACUCGCCCUUUUUUGGUCAAGACACAAACUUUACUAGAAUUUAACCUGUCAUAUUAAUGCCAAGGCCUUUGCGAAGGAGAGAAGGCUUUUCGACGUCAAUCAUUUUAGCUGUUGGGCAUCCGUAGUUGGUUGAUGUCCAUUGAUGAUCGUGGUGACCGAUGUUUUUGGUUCUAAAACCUAGCCCGUGGGCAAUUUUCCCUUGAGUUCCUAUCUGAACUGCCUGGCUUAUACUAGUAAAAGCCAUGAAGUUGAUGCAUAACCAUACAUGGAAAUAAUCUAACAAUUAAAUAACUAAUUUUAAUUAGGAGCAUUUUUCUUAGUGGUCUUCCUGGCCGCCGAGUUUGACCAAGCAUUUAGUGGUUUGCAGAAGGUCUGGACGGCUAAUGGGGUGCGAGUCUUAUUUUUGCUUCCUUAUUAUUCAUACAUUUUAAUUGAUAUCCGGACUGCAUCUCUAUCGGUAACUGAAAAUUUGGCCCAGAUCUCAUUCGGGCCGGUCCUUGGAUAGACAGUUCCAGGUGAAGCCGGGUUAACGAUUGCUGGCACUAACCCCACACCCCCCACCCCCACCCCCCCCCCC
rnacentral:lncRNA from 1 species